rnacentral:rRNA from 1 species
AUACGGAGGGUGCAAGCGUUAUUCGGAAUCACUGGGCGUAAAGGACGCGUAGGCGGGUUGGCAAGUCAGAUGUGAAAUCCUACAGCUUAACUGUAAAACUGCAUUUGAAACUGCUAACCUAGAGUAUGGGAGGGGGAGAUGGAAUUAGUGGUGUAGGGGUAAAAUCCGUAGAUAUCACUAGGAAUACCGAAAGCGAAGGCGAUCUCCUGGAACAUAACUGACGCUAGGGCGUGAAAGCGUGGGGAGCAAACAGGAUUAGAUACCCCAGUAGUCC